AUCUACAAAUAUAUAUAGCCUAUGAGAUACAUAGUGACAAAGCAAACCAUUAUUCAUGCAGAUACAUCACUUAUUAUGUAUUAUUGUUCUAUUUUUUACAUGAAUUGGUUUUUUGUCUUUUUGUGAGCCAACAAAGGUCUUUCAAUUAAAUGUCUUAGUUAAACAUUAUAUAUGUGGCUUUUGUAAUACUGGAAAUGUAAAAAAAAAAACUAUUUAUUUGGUUUAUUAUCACCACAUGCUGAGAAAUAAAUUUUAGAAAAUGUAUUUAUUUAUUUAUUUAUUUAUUUUAGAUCCUCUUUGUUUCAGCUGGACCACUCUUAUUUCUGUUUUAUUCCAAUUUCAGGUUUAUUUGCUUCAUUUCCAGUUUUAAGUUUGUAAAAAAUAUAAGCUCUUGUUCAGGUCAGCUUUCUGUGCUUCACACCUGGACUCUCUUACUGAUUGACUCUCAUCUGUUGCUUAUUUGACAUCAGUCCUUGUGUGCAGAACAGGUCAGCUGAAUGGACUGAAGAAGGAUGGUACUGGGUUUAUCGCAGGGACAAAGACAACAAGCAACGGUUCAUUUAAAAUGAAUAUAAAUGUCUGAUGACUCCACUGUGUCUUGCUAUUUGGAUUCUCUUCACCCACAGCCUAUUGAGUCAAAAUGAAGUGUGGUGCACCGGUAUGAAAAGCACAAAACUAAAACCUUUACUUAAAUAUAAGUAUUGGGAGGAGUUUUGAAAAUGUCAUGUUGAUAAUAAACUUAAUGUGGAGGUACAUCAGAGAGACCACCAUCCAAACACACUCAUAGCUAAGGGCAAUUCAGAGUAACCAAUUAACCUAACAGUCAUGCUUUUGGACUGUGGGAGAAAGCCGGAGUACCCAGAGAGAACCCAGCGCAUGCAAGAGGAGAAUAUGCAAACCCUAUAAGGACAACCCCAGGCCGGGAUUUGAACCUGAACCUUCCUGCUUUGAGGCAACAGUGCUAACAACUGCCUGCAGCGCCAAUAAUAAAUGUGAUGAUGAUAAUGAUAUUAAUAAUAAUAUGAUGAUGGCGAUAAUGAAUAUGACUACAACACGGUGAUGAUUAAAAUAAAGCUGUUGAUUUUAAAAGUAUGGCUAAUAAUGAGGAAGAUGAUGGAGUUAUGUUGGUAUUGGUUGAAGUUGUGUUUCCCGAGGCCGUUUCAGUAAUUUAUUAGAUGAACUUAUCGCCACAUAAACUGUCACACAGUACAGUGGAUGGAGAGCUCCACACUGAGUCAUUUACCAUCAUUACUAAUGAUGGACACAAUUGCUCGUUUAUCACAAGAAAUGGUACAGUAUGCUUCUGAGAUGACCAAAGCCUCUCGGUCUUAGUCACACACU